UUUUUUUUUCAGUUCGAAGUGCUCAAGUAAUAAUAAUAUCGCCUCGUAGGAAUUCAAGAAUAGAGCUAAUGUUUUCUCUGAAGAAACACCGAACAGUCUGAGCUAUAAUGUUACAAGACUUGCAUACCUUCAAUGUGCUCUUGCAGUGUUCCUUCAGACAUGUACUCAUAGACGAGUGCCAUGUACUCCCCAUCCUUGCAGUAGCCUAUCAUGGAGACAAGAUUCUUGUGAUGAAUCCGGGACAAAAUUUGAGCCUGCACGAUGUUCAUAACUUGUCCAAUUUCAGUCCUUAAUUUCAUACACACAUUUGUGCCCUUGAACAUAAAGUGCAGUGAAAAAGAAUCUACCUCUGCGAGGAACUCCUUGACUGGAAGAAUGCGACCGCAACUUCACUGCUACCUGGGUGCCGUCCUCCAAGAAGCCGUCGUAGAUGUACCCGAACCCUCCCCGACCAAGCACUCGCUGGAAGUUGUUUGUUAUCAUCUGAAGCUCCUUGUAUGUGAACCGGCAGUUCUCGAGUCGCAACGAGCCAUCCACAGACACCGUUUACCAUUGCAUAGCUCGUCGUCAUCUCAUUUUGGGGUUUCACGGAGUUGCUCACUGAUCCUUCAUAGAAAAAAGAUGGCACAUCUAACGUCAACUAUGUUCUCUCAUGUGAAAAAAGGUCAGAGAAUUGUCGUGCUCAUGCCAAAGCCUCACCUGGCCUUUUUCGUCUUACAAAACAAAAAAGUAGUACCACCAAUAGUAUCACGAGAAUCACAGCCACAGGAACUGCAAUGUAAAUGGCCAACAUGUUGCUCCUUGUAGUUUUAGCAGGCUGGCAUGAAUGGCCGUUGGUGCACAGGUUUGGAUUGUUGCCAUAUCUAACCAAAAAACCAACAUGCUUAAUGAAAUUUAUCUACUUUUACACAUGAGCUAUACAGAAUUGGGGCAAACUUACCUUAGAAUCAGGGAGCCAUCUUGAACUCUUUUGAGAAGUCCAGAGGGAAUUGAUCCACUGAGCUGGUUGGCUGACAACUACUCUGAAACCACCUUUAUUCAAGAACAAGAAAACUACACAUAAAUCUUCUCCAAAAACAAAGAAACUAUAAACGAGGCCAAAAUAGACUGAGAACUCCCCUCACAAGUAUUUGACAGCCUUGAGAUCGGCAAACGAAGCCAAUAUAUCAGCACCGAUGCCACUGGGGGACAGGUUUCUGCACAACGUAAAUAGCCCAGUGGAGCAGUUUCAUGUAGUCAUGUAAUAUACUCCAAUAUAUCUCCGUUAAUUCUGUCACCAACAAAGUCAGUACAGUACUACUCCCUCUGUACGCUAAUGUAAGAUGUUUUUUGCUUUCUUCUAAUUCGAAUGUAUAUAUGUUAUUUCGAGAUUCGAAGAAGCAAGCAAGUUUUUCAUAUAGUUGUUUUUGUGUAGUGAUCUCUGUUCAUGGAGAUCACGAGGCCACUGAUACCCCAUGUGGAUAGGUGGGAUAGAAGAGUGGGCAUGUGGGCUUCUAUCAAAAGAGGAAAAGAUACCGCCACGCUCAUAUCUCCCUUCUCACCUCUGGGAGCACUUUCGCACUAGAUGGUUAACUCUAAGUUUUUUCUGAAGUAGGUUGUUCAAUGCUAGUUCAAUGAUUGAGCCAUCUUCCUAUCACCAAUCCUAUCCUCAGUUGUAGUAAGCUGAGUGUUAUAGUGUGUUUUUUCACUCAUUUCAGUCCAUAUUGAAAUCCAAAAACAUCUUACAUUUGUGAACAGAGGGAGUACUAUUGUAUUAAGUCCAUAUGUAGUCCAUAUUGAAACCCAGCCUUUUUUUACCAGCACCAAACAAACAUGCUAGGAUAAUCUUCUCUAUACCAAGGACAAAAAAAAGAACUGUUAACCGUUAACCAAUAGCUUAUUUUUCCAUCCUCUCUGCGGACAGUUUCUGAUAGAUAAUCCAUGGUAGCACUAUAUAUAUAGCAUGUGAGCCUGGCUGGCCUUCUCUUCGUUUGGGCUGUUGCUUUGCCAGGUAGGUGAAAAUCGGUCUAAACAGUAAAAAAGAAUCAGUCGCGUUUUCUCUACUUGAUCUAACAACAAAUUCCAGGCACCCGUGUCAUAGACGCUCCCAACAUUAAGACAGAUGCUGCAAGAUAUUAAUACUAUUGUGCACAAUGAUAGUAAUUUACAUGCUAACUGAAAGCUGCCGACGACACACUGAGACCAAACCCAAAACAAAUACCCAUCCGUUCUCUCUGAGACAAUAGAGAUGAACACAUCUCGCGACUAAUAAAUUAUUAUCCAAGGGAAGAUUUCUAUUUUUUUGUUUUUUUAUCUUUUGCUUCUCAAGCACCAAAUCUGAAAACAGCGAGACACAUUGAUGAAUGAUGGGAGGUGGCGAUCUACUGGUCCAUCCUCAUGAUGCAGCGCAGGCCCUCCCCCUUGAGCAUGAGGUCGAAUGCCGUGUUGAUCUGCGAGAAGGGCACGCUAUGCGUGAUGAACUUCUCCAGCUCCAGCUCCUUCCUCAUGUACAUCUCCACGACUUCCGGGAGGUCGGUGCGCGGCUUGUAGUUGCCGAAGAAGGUGCCUUUGAGGGUCCUCUCGUUGAGGAAGUUCAUUGGGUAGGUCUUGAACACCGCCUCCUUGUGCGGCACGCCCACCAGCACAGCCACGCCCCACCCCUGCAUCCACCAGAUUGCAACAUUCAGUCUAAACUCUUGUAAAGCAGAGCCUGCAACUAGUAAUCACUCGAGUACAGAUUAUAUAUAGCAGGUAUGCUGCGAGCUGCGUACAUCAUGGACACAUUCGAAGGCGGCAAUCAUGGCAUCGAUGUGGCCAGUGCACUCAACCGCCCGGUCGACUCCGCCAUUGGUCAUCUCGACAAGCACCUGGAGAGCAUCAUUGAACGGUGAGUUUUAUCAUAUCUGAAGAUUGAACAAAGGGAAAAAUGUUUACUGAGGGACAUGAACAACAGACCUCUUGCACGGGCUUACUGUGGUCCUUUGGGUUCACAAAGUCUGUGCAUCCAAAUUUCUUAGCUGAAAAAUAAUGUAGUACAUGUUGUUAGGUUCAGUGUUCUAUCAAUCCGAAAACAUUUGCCAAGACAUGCUUGUUUUCAGAGUAUUGUACCUUGUUCGUAUUUUGCAGGGUUCAAAUCCACACCAAUGAUCCUUGAUGCCCCAGCCAUCCUGGCCCCUUCCAUGGCCUGCUCAUGUGAAAAGCAUACAGUCAUUAUUCAUGGCUAUAGCGCAUAAUUCUCUUCGGCCUGUAAAAAUAUGUCGGGGAAGAUUAACAUCUUGGAAUGUGUUACUCACAGCAAGUCCUACAGCUCCAAGACCGAAAAUCGCCACCGUGGAACCCUUUUUUGGUUUUGCGACAUUGAGCGUGGCGCCAAGUCCUGAAGAAAAAAUGACAACUCAGCAAUUAGUUGAGGCAUCCUAAACCAUUGUGCUUCAUUUGGAAACAAUGGCAUGUGACGAGCUAUUAUAUCAGUCUUACCAGUUGAGAUGCCACAGCUGAGAACACAAACUUUGUCGAGGGGCGCCUCGGGGUUGAUCUUGGCGAGGCAACCGACAUGGAUGACGGUGUACUCGCUGAAGGUGGAGGUCCCGACGAAGUGGAAAAUCGGCUUCCCGUUGAUGGUGAAGCGAGACUGCCCAUCGCCGAUCAUCACGCCACGAUCCACGUUGAUCCUGAGGAGAUCACAAAGGUUGCUUUCCUCUGACUUGCAGUGGGCACAGUCCUUGCACUCGCCGGUGAACACCGGGAGGACAUGGUCACCAGGCACAAGCUCAGUCACGCCCUCUCCGACGCUCUCGACGAUGCUGAGACAAAGAAGCUAUUUGGUGAAAAGAGGUGCCAAAAAAGAUAAAUUAUGAAGAGCAAACAUGAUGUCGUUUCCCCAUGAUUCUUCAUAGUAUGUUUUAUCCCAUUGGCAAUAAAAUAUAGACACUUGCUUUAUGUAGGUAAUGGAUCUAGUACCACUGAGGGAGAUCAGUUCUCAGGAUGACUAGAAUUAGAAGCCAGAGAGAAUAAACUAUGAUUUAGGAUUCAAGAUUCCUCCUCCAAGCAACAUAAUAAGACAAGAAAGAGAGGAUGAAUAUAUACCCUCCAGCUUCAUGGCCUAAGAUCCUAGGGAAAACCGGAGUUUGACCCUGCACAAAUCCAAACAGACAACAUCACAAAUUUGAUUAGCCACUGAUGCAUCAAUAUUUACCCAAUAGGAAAACACAAACCCGUGAGAUACAUAUACAGUAAUUGUAUGUGUGGAUAUAUACCUUGGCUUCCCAGAAGUAGACGUCGGUGUGGCAGAGGGCGGUGUAGAGGAUCUUGACGCGCACCUCCAUGGCCUGCGGCGGCGCCACCUCCACCUCCUCGAUCGACAGCGGCUUCCCGGCCUCCCAUGCCACCGCCGCUGCAACCAACCAACCGCACAAUUCAGACCUCCACCCGUCCACAAAACAUCAACCAAAAUCAGAUGGAACUAACUGCAUGCUAUCCCAGAAACACACCUUUGCACUUGAUCACCUUCCCGGCGGUCGCCAUCCCUGUCGCCAGAAGAAGAGACACAAAGAUGGAUCUUUGUCGCUGCUUCUGCUUUGCGGUUCGUUGCUAGAUUUUGGUGAGGAACGAAGGCGGGGCUGGGACCUGUAUAUAUACUGCUGGUGCUGGGGGAAUCGGCGAGUAAUGAAGGGUGGCUUGGAGUGCAAGUGGGGAAAGAAGAAGGCGGCUGAAACAGGGGUUGUCCGGCUGUCUGCGGCUCUGCGCGCGUGUCCGCCGGUUUCGAAAUUGGGCCCGUGUGGUGUAUGGAAAACGUUGUGUCGUGAUCGAGGGGCUACGGGUCGACGGUAGGCGAGGAGUAAAAAACCAGCGAUGAGGCCUGCCGGAGAGGGCUGACUUGCAUUGGUGGCCGAAACCGGGGCGACCGAGCAAACCUAGUGCGAAAAAACAACAGCUCGGUACCCCGUUUUGCAACGGUCCACGAGCCCACGACCUGGCGCAUCGUCGUCGACGGGACCAGGCGCCAAUCCCUCGUUUUACUGAAACAUUUUAAAAUCUGUAGACAUUCUUCGUACUCGUUAACUUUUCUCAAAUUACGAAAAUUUUGAAUUACAUAAACUAUUUUAAAAUUUAUCAACUUUUCUAGAUCCAUGUUUUUUUAAGUCGAUGGUCAACUGGUUAAAUUGGUCAAAAGUUGAUCGACAAACAGUUAAUGGUGUUGGGAAACUUGGGCCUUAGAUGGAACAAGUCAUUGGCCCAUUAUAGACCAAGUCCCUCCACUUAACGUUAAAGUGGGCACUUAUCCUUCCACCCCUAGAUAUAUAAAGAGGAGAGCACCCUGUGUAUGUACAGUUGAUGAUGAUUAAUAAAGAAAGACUCCCCUUUACAUCUCUGUGUCCAUUUACUUUCUGUACCUGUGUGUGAUCGACUACGACGCUCGCUCCCGCUCUGCAACCUUGGACCGGACUCGCCGGCAGGAGUUGCGGAACACGUUAUCAGCACGCUUCGCUCCUUCAACUCUCCAUCAAGCCUGCUUCAAGCCUGCAUCGAGCAGGCUUUCGUCGAUCUCGCGGAGGUAUGGAUCCGAAAUUGUUCGCAAAAAUGGAUUCCUCUUGUUGUUGUGAUUCCGUCUUUGCGAUCUCGUAAUUUUUGGGAUUAGAUUUGACCUAUGAUGUGGAUUUUCCCUUGUGAGAUUGCGGCGGACUUGUUGUCGCCCGCCAAUGCGGAUCGAUCUCACAUGCCAGGAAUUUGUUGACUACAUCUAGGAGACGGUGCACAGGCUCCCGACGAGCACGGCACCACCGCGAUGCAUCCGCUGUGCACGCAUCGCCUCUGUGUUUUUCUGCCGUCCUGAUGACGGACGAACGAGACGAGUGAGUAAAUUGCAUAGAAGUACCACAAUUGGGGCAUUGGAAGCAGAUUGAUACCAAGAUUGGUAAUUUUUACGUGUCAGUACCAACUUUGGGGCGAGGCGUUGCAAAAGAGGCUAAAACAGCUGUUUAUACGUAUUGACACGGAAACUGACCGGUUGGGCCCGCCUGUCAGGUGCUGACGUGGCAUGUUUUUUGCAAAAACUCCCUUGCUUUGUGCGUAAUCCCAUAAAUGCUCAAUUAUUUCGGGAAAAAGGGCUCAAAUGAGAGGUUUUUUUUU
rnacentral:lncRNA from 1 species